CGGUGGAGCAUGUGGUUUAAUUCGAUGCAACGCGAAGAACCUUACCUGGUCUUGACAUAUCUAGAAUCCUGCAGAGAUGCGGGAGUGCCUUCGGGAAUUAGAAUACAGGUGCUGCAUGGCUGUCGUCAGCUCGUGUCGUGAGAUGUUGGGUUAAGUCCCGCAACGAGCGCAGCCCUUGUCCUUAGUUACCAGCGGGUUAAGCCGGGAACUCUAAGGAUACUGCCAGUGACAAACUGGAGGAAGGCGGGGACGACGUCAAGUCAUCAUGGCCCUUACGACCAGGGCUACACACGUGCUACAAUGGUAGGUACAGAGGGCAGCUACACAGCGAUGUGAUGCGAAUCUCAAAAAGCCUAUCGUAGUCCAGAUUGGAGUCUGCAACUCGACUCCAUGAAGUAGGAAUCGCUAGUAAUCGCGGAUCAGAAUGCCGCGGUGAAUACGUUCCCGGGCCUU
rnacentral:rRNA from 1 species